rnacentral:lncRNA from 1 species
CUACCCACUUCCAAAACACUCCUCCCCUGACCAUCGGGAAUUAAUGUCACAAGCCUCAGAGCUCAGAGGCUAAGCCCAAGUGGGACACGGGACCACCACCCCCCGCCCCUCCCACUUCCAAGCUGGUCCAGCUGCACCCCCCACUGCCGCCCGCCCUUGCCCCCAAGGACCCCCGGGGCAUCCACCUUGGCCCAUCGUGGAUGGUAAAUACCUCCUGGGGAGCUGCUGGGGAAAGCGACCGCCUAUUUCCCAAGCCUGGGGUCCCCAGCCCCGCUCCUUAAAUCCUCCCCAGAGCCCAGAGCCCUCCUCCCUUGGUCCCCCAGGACGUCAUGUCAUGUAGUCACUUGAUGAAUGUUGAUCAAGGGCCUCCUGGGCUUCUGGGGAAAAAACGGGGGUGGAAAGUGGCCUCUGCCUUGGGUGUCCUGGGGUCCGGUGGGAGAGUAGGAAGAGUUCUGAGCCUGAGGGGUCCCUGGGAGCCCCCAGCCCCAAUUAAGAGCCCUCAAGGAAGGCUUUUUGGAGGAGGAGACUUCUGAACGGUGUCUUGAAAUUUAAGUAGAGUGGGAGUGGGGAGUAGGGAACAGUGUGCCAGGAAGGAGGAACAGCCUAUGCACAGGCUCAGAGGCAAGACCAUGGUUUACCGGGGGCUGAAGCUGCCUGCGGGCACCUGCCUGCCCUUCCCUGCCUUACCCCAGCUAGAAAGUGCUCUUGGCUCAGACGUGGAGACCUUGAUUCUCUCCUGGGCCUUGCUAUUACCUCAGUAUCGGGCCGGGGGAUGUCCAAGCAUGGUCUGUGCUUGCUGCAGUCUGGCCCUGUCUGCUGCCGCCUGCCCCCGCACCGUGGAGGGUGAGUUCCGGCUCUUCUGUGUCCCAGCACCGGGUUCCGCUGUCCUCGGGCAUCUCUGCUGCACCUGGGUCGUCUCUACUCUUCUCUCUGAAGCAUUUUUCUUCUCUGUCUUUGCUUCUGCUCCUCCUUGGCCUCCUCUUGGGUCUGAUUUCUUCGAGGCCCACAGAUCUGACUUGCCACACCCGAAAGCCUCCCCCAGCAGUCUCCCUGUGGCCUCUUCCCUGAACAGUUUAAGGCCACUGAAGGGUUGAGAUCGAGAACGUGCGUGAACGUGGAAAGGCACCCGAGGAAAGACCCUUCACAAAAGGCCCCCAGAUACACAUUCCAGUUGUGAUGGGUUGUUAGAGAGGUGGCUGAAGAAGACCCCGGGGUCCUAGUGGGCCACAAGCUAGGUCUGUAAUACAGGGUGGAGGAGGAUGCACCAUCACUGUCGGUGGGAUAGUGCAUCCUUGGUUGCUGUGAACACCCGGCAGGGCUCGGAGGACAGAAAACACAGCACCUCUGCUGACUCUGGGACUCCCAGGGUGAGUGUGGUUGUGCGUUCACCUGCUUGGUUUUGACUCACACACGGCUCUCGAGCCGGUCCCUGCUGUGGCUCACUGUCUCGCUGACAGCAGCAGCGAUUCUUUCCUGGUAUUCCUGGGUGUCCUUGCUGCAGCCCUGGCUGAUCCCGAGGUGGCUCAGGGCGGUGAAUGAAAUCGUCACUGUCAGUUGCGUCACACAAUACCUGGCACACAGUAGGUGCUCAAUAAGUGUGGCUUCUCUAUCUCCCAACUGAACUCCCCCCCCCAGAACUCCACCUCCUGGGGGCAUUCCUGAAAAGACAGGGGACUGGACCAGAGAGGAAGGGGGUGUCCCCUGUGUCCCUAGAGGCUGGAGUUCAGACCGUCCCCAGCUGUCCUGGGGCUAAGCAUCCCUAAGGCUCCAUCCUAAAGAGCCAGAGAGUCCCUGGCGAGCCCCGCGAGCCCCUGCCCACCACGGUCCUCGUAGAAGCAGGACCUUCUUCCUCCAGGCCCCGAGGGGGAGGCCCAGGGGGGUCACAGGGGCACGGAGCUGAGCAGCCUGGCCUGUGACCGUGCGGGGCUGAGACCCUCCCAAAGUCGGGUGGUCAGUGUCCCCACCCAGGCCUCCAGAGUCUCUCUCCCCCGGACCUUUGUCCUUGCCCUGGGGUCCACUCCACGGACUGACCGCACGACUCUCUGGGCUGGUGGCUCUCGACGUCGUGGACCUUAGGCAACAUCCUCAAUUGUAAAAAGGCUUUCUGUGUAAAUGACGCUGUCACCUUUUUCUAUCGCCAAGUACCUAGAGCCCUAUAAAUAUUAUACAUAUAUAUCAAAGAGAUGGCGCCGCACAGAGCCAGGGGACUGACCCCACGGCGCUGUCUUCUCUGUGUCCGGCCGCCCGUCCCAGAGGAGCCGGUGGAUGAGGUUGGUCUCUCGCUGUCCCCCGGGCCACUCCUUCCCCUCUCUUUCCCUCUGGACUCUGUCCGUCUGGUCUCUGUCUCUGUCACUCGCUGCCCACGUCUCACUGCUGGGAAGGAAUGUUGGAUUCCGAUGCUGUCCGGGGAAGGAGGCCGGAUGGAGGAGGGUCCACCGUGUAUAUUUGUACAGAAUCAUUUAUAACGUUUUCUACUAACUUCUCAAAAAGUCUUUCUAACUCGGGCUGUUGGACACUUUGUGAGCCUCUGAGCCGGCAGGCCUACCGUUUCUUGUGUUUAGUGCAAUGUUUAGUGAGAAUCCAAUGUCUGAACUAUUUAUGCCAAUAAAGAACCUGAGACUUCCUGCAUCACACUGCC